UACGGAGGUGGCAAGCGUUGUUCGGAAUUACUGGGCGUAAAGGGCUCGUAGGCGGCCAACUAAGUCAGACGUGAAAUCCCCAGGCUCAACCUGGGAACUGCGUCUGAUACUGGAUGGCUUGAAUCCGGGAGAGGGAUGCAGAAUUCCAGGUGUAGCGGUGAAAUGCGUAGAGAUCGGGAGGAACACCAGAGGCGAAGGCGGCGACCUGGACAGAUACUGACACUCAACUGCGAAAGCGUGGGGAGCAAACAGG
rnacentral:rRNA from 1 species